rnacentral:rRNA from 1 species
GGAGGGUGCAAGCGUUGUUCGGAAUUAUUGGGCGUAAAGAGCGUGUAGGCGGUCCGGUAAGUCAGAUGUGAAAGCCCUGGGCUCAACCCAGGAAGUGCAUUUGAAACUACCAGACUUGAGUACGGGAGAGGAGGGGGGAAUUCCCGGUGUAGAGGUGAAAUUCGUAGAUAUCGGGAGGAAUACCAGUGGCGAAGGCGCCCCUCUGGACCGAUACUGACGCUGAGACGCGAAAGCGUGGGGAGCAAACAGGAUUAGAUACCUGGGUAGUCCACGCCGUAAACGAUGAGCACUAGGUGUAGCGGGUAUUGACCCCCCCUGCUGUGCCGUAGCUAACGCAUUAAGUGCUCCGCCUGGGGGACUACGGUCGCAAGACUA